CACCAUCAGGCUUGAAAAGAAGAAUGAUACAGUAGCCGAAGACGACAAGGAUGGAAGGCCAGCCCAAUUGAGGAACAUUAAUGUUAGUUUCAUUAGCUCGGGAUGGUAAACUAACGAAACGAGGUUUUACGCAUAUUUCAUUCAGUGAUUUCUCCACAGAGUUUCUAAAUCCAGGAACCACUGAGCACAACAUAGAUCCCACAUAAACGCAUAAUUCCUUGUUAUGCUUGCAAUAAUACUUGGCAGCAUAAUAAGCCAUACAGAAAGCCAUACCAGUGUUGUCGCCACCAUUCACAUC
rnacentral:lncRNA from 1 species